GCCCGGAUAGCUCAGUUGGUAGAGCGACGCUCUCGUAAAGCGUAGGUCACGAGUUCAAUUCUCGUUUCGGGCU
rnacentral:tRNA from 1 species